AUUUCUUUUCUCAAAUAACAGUGAACUAAGAUAGGCGCUUUGUAUACUUGCGGAAAACACUCUUCUAACUUAACCGCUCUAUAUCUUGCGUUUCUUAUUCCAACUUUUUUAGUAGUGAUAAAACACGUUUGAGAUGUUUUCAAACACAUUUCGCGUUUCCAAAACAUAACAUUAUGAACAUAAACGCCACAUUUUCUUCUCUAUUCUCGUACAUUUCUUUUUCUCUCCUCAUACUGAUCUUCUCUCUGUUCAACUUCCUACAAAUAAACCACUAUCGACAACACGUAAAAUUGAGAUGAAUAUAACAGUUCUGAUGUAGACAAUUUUAUCCUGGUUUGGACAUAUCGGUUCUUGUCUGGACAUGAUCUGGACAUACUAGUUCUGAUUUUGACAUGACUUAGAUGAUAUGAUAUGGACAUAUUGGUUUUGGUCUGGACAUGAUAUGGACAAAUUGAUUAUGAUUUUGACUUGACCUGGAUGAUAUGAUCUAGACAUAUCGAUUUUGCUCUGGACAUGAGAGUACGUAAUAAACAAAUAGAAAAAAGAUGGCCACAAGUGGUAUAUGUUAACCGUAAAUAAUACGUCCGCAAGUCGUACUCUUUUAGAUAAAAUUUAAGCGGGAAAUUUCCUUCUAGCUAUAAUAAAUCAUAUACUCCACAAAACACCGUAAUUAGUUUUAAGGAGCUCGCUAAUGCCGCUGGAAUUCAUUUCAAUAGCCCGUUUUGACAUUGUGCACUAUUCAUAUAUUAACUUUGAUUCUCUUUUUACAUGUACAUAAAUUGAUAAAAAAAAAGAUAAGAUAUUAAGAAUAAAAGUUCUAUAUAGACAAAUAUAAAAAUUAAAAUAAUACAACUAUUUCUAAAUAAAGAAAAGAUAAUAAAUAUAAUAUUAAAAAUCGUAUUAAUUUGAAAUUGUCAUAUUAAGCUCAAAUAAUAGAGAUCAAAUAAAAUCCAAUUAGACUACCCGCCCACUUUUCACGAAUUUAACUCAAAACUAAUACCCAAUUAUACUACCCGCCCUUCUCUUAGGCGAAUUUCGCUCAAAAAAUUCAUUUCCCUCUUCGCUUAGCCAUUUCAGCGCCAUUUCUUCUGGAUCUAGGUUUAGGAACUCAACUUGAUUCUCCCCAAAUUCUGAACCCAAUUCUCACUCGAAAUCCUAGCGAGAGAGCUCUUACUCGUUAACAACAGGAAAUGGUUUGAUAACUCUGGUGGUGUUUCAUUUUGAUUUCAUUCAUCUCAAGGGCUUAGAUUAUCACAAGUCCGCAUAGUUUUCGGGAAAACAAAACUGCUCAAGGGGAUCGGUGGACUGGAAAAGUUAACUUCGUUGAGAUUCAAACGUAUUAGCACGUCUUCAGAAGUUUGACAGAAUGCCAUGAUUAUUAUUGCACUGGAAUGGCACAGGCGACCCAAGUGCAAUAUUCCAAGUGCAAAAUUCUGUGUGUGCCAUUGCAGCUGUUCUUAGAAACCUCUGCAUUGCUGAGGGCAGCGCACUGAGGCAACACUUCUCAGAGAUUCACUUUCAGUUGGAGGGUAGGAAAAGGAACAAGCUAGUUGAUCAACUUGCUAGUAUUACACGCCAGGAAAGCAGGAGAUGAACCAGAUCAUGCAACUUCAG